UCUAGUGUUGCCUCCAAGCUACUGAGAACCUAGUCUAAGUUAGGCACGCCAUGCAGCAGCUUAUUAUUUACUCACUCAGACCAGAGAUAUACUCCACCUUUCUUUAAUCAGCCCAGCAGGUACUUAACUGUAUAUAUUCUCACUCACAGUUACCACAGAGGCAGUAUAGACAUACUUAUAAUACACCACUUCGCCGCUCCGCUGAUUAUUCUCUGUUCACUCAGGCAACUGAACAGGCGUAGAUGUUGUCUCUCACUGUUCCGAAACCUGAUGUACAGGUAUGAGUACCUGUGGAGUGUUAAACUCAUCUUGCUAAACUCUUAUACAUUUGCUUAGCUAACCAGUAAG